AUACUUAUCUGGCAGGGAAGAUACUGUGAUCACGCCGGUGAUCUUUCCAGGGCAAGGCUCAUCCACUGCCCUUGGGCUUUACUCACCCCCGCGAUUUCCCCAAAUGUGGUCCGCUCGACUGCAUAAUUGGUGGUAGUGGGGGACUGUGUUUGCACUCUCCCCUA